rfam:Helianthus annuus linkage group 1, whole genome shotgun sequence.
GGUUUUGCGAUGAUAAGAACAUAAAUUCCUCGUUCUGAAUGCUGAAUUUGGGCUUGGUUGGUUGUGUACACUAAUUGGAUUUGAGCAAA